UUCAAGGCUGGUGCUCUCGUUCAGAUAGAUUUAGCUGGUGGUACAGAGAUCCGUGAGCUUGCUUUUACAGGACUUUAAUGAUAUAUAAAAGCAGCACGAGGUGCUCCUGACUGUGGAUUAAUUUGGAGAUGACUUUCUCUGUUGAAGAGUGGCAAGACUCUCGCAAGUUCUUAAAAAUGCACUUGUUUGGUAUGAGAAUGAAAAGCAGUGGCUGAAGAACCAAUCUUCAAUGGGCAAGCCUUCUCUGAUGGACAUUUAGAUGGCUUUCAUUUAUCUCCCAUUACAAGAAUACUUUGUACAUAUAUUGUCUGUUCUAACACAUGCCAUUUGGGAUCCCUUGGAAUCUUCAUGUACAGAACUGGUUGCUACCUCAUUGAGUCGGUGGGGACAGAAUAGCUCCUGGUUGACAGCAUGGGUUGUGCAGAAGGACGGACCCUACAGACAUCAAUAUCUGGCUGUGAGUGGCACAAAGAAAUAAAGGAAUGUGGAUUCAGACCUCACUGGGAUGCUUGGCAAUUCUAAUUCUACCCCAGACUGCAAAUGGACACACAACUGUUUUGACUUUUGUUGAAGAGGAGAAGGAUGGGUAAGCAUGUGACGUUGGGAAAUUGUAUUUUCUUCUUCGAGUUCUUCUGUUUCCGAAUAUUUAAUCCUACUGUUCUCUUCUUUAGUGAAGGUCUCUUUAGUCAAUAAUCUCUUUGCUGAAAUUGCUUCGGGCAGCACAGAAGCUGGAUUCAGAAGCACGCAGGUCUGGGGAUGCAGGCUUCGGCCAGCCUGAUGCAAGGAAAGACUGCCAUCUCGUGGUCAGCUCAAUCCUGGCACCUUGGUGAGGGUCCAGGCUGCAGAAAACCAGGCUUGGGGAGGAAAUGGUGCUGCAAACUGGAUUUCUGCUGGACAGUGUGGAUGCCCUUAGAAAAUACCCAGAAAAGAGCUGAGUGCCCCCCAAGGUAGGCUUCAGUGACUCCUCUGCAGGUGUGUUGUCAUCCCCUGAGCCAAACACAUGCUUCACACACACGCUGCAGGCUGCGUGAAAAUGAGGUAGAAAUGUGGGGAAAAUAUAACCCCAUGGAGAGAGCAAAGAGCUGAACACGUAAAUGCCUCCAGCGUGCCUGGCAGAGAGAACACUCAGGCUGAGAAAAGGGACAGCUACUUGUACCAAAGGUAGGGAAGUAGCCUCUGGGAUCUCAAUCAGCAGGGCAUCUGGUCAACCCCUCAGACAAAGUCAGGUCUGAGCAGGAAAGAUCCAUGGAUCUGAUUUAUUAAUAUUUUUAUAAUUAAAUAGAAUCUGAUUGUAAAACUGUUACAUGUAUUUAAGAAAAAAAGAAAAAACAAACAAUAUAGAAAUGUACAAAGAAGAAAAUAAAAGACUGGAAGCGUCCUCACCUUAGGGACCUAUUAUUAACGCUUAGGUGGCCAGUCUUCCAGACAUCUUGCUAUGAAUAUAUUCAAAUGGAAAUUAAAAAUGUACUUUUACAUAAGUGCAGUCAGACCUUGUACUCCUCUAUCCCAUAACCUGCUUUUUCAUUCAACAGUAUGACAGAAGCGUCUUUCCAGGUCAAUAAAUAAAUUUGGUCUCAUUGUUUUUUAUCAAUUACAUAAAGCUAAUGGUAUGUAAUACUGAUUUCAUACCUGCUAUAUGCCAGGCACAUACAUGAUCUUGCAUAAUCUCAUAACAACUCUACCGAACAGGAGUUUGUAUUAUGCCCAUUAAGCAGAUGAAGAGGCUGUGGCACAAGAAAAUUGAUCAGCACUGCCAGGGUAUCUGACC